CGCACUCUCGUUAGAUUGAAGAAGCUUGCUUCUGAUUGAUAACAUUUGAGUGAGUGGCGGACGGGUGAGUAACACGUGGGUAACCUGCCCUAAAGUGGGGGAUAACAUUUGGAAACAGAUGCUAAUACCGCAUAAAACCUAGCACCGCAUGGUGCAAGGUUGAAAGAUGGUUUCGGCUAUCACUUUAGGAUGGACCCGCGGUGCAUUAGUUAGUUGGUGAGGUAAAGGCUCACCAAGACCGUGAUGCAUAGCCGACCUGAGAGGGUAAUCGGCCACACUGGGACUGAGACACGGCCCAGACUCCUACGGGAGGCAGCAGUAGGGAAUCUUCCACAAUGGACGAAAGUCUGAUGGAGCAACGCCGCGUGAGUGAAGAAGGUUUUCGGAUCGUAAAACUCUGUUGUUGGAGAAGAACGUAUUUGAUAGUAACUGAUCAGGUAGUGACGGUAUCCAACCAGAAAGCCACGGCUAACUACGUGCCAGCAGCCGCGGUAAUACGUAGGUGGCAAGCGUUGUCCGGAUUUAUUGGGCGUAAAGCGAGCGCAGGCGGUUUCUUAAGUCUGAUGUGAAAGCCUUCGGCUCAACCGAAGAAGUGCAUCGGAAACUGGGAAACUUGAGUGCAGAAGAGGACAGUGGAACUCCAUGUGUA
rnacentral:rRNA from 1 species